rnacentral:rRNA from 1 species
CGGGGUGAGUAAUGUCUGGGGAUCUGCCUGAUGGCGGGGGAUAACUACUGGAAACGGUAGCUAAUACCGCAUAAUGUCUGCGGACCAAAGCGGGGGACCUCCGGGCCUCGCGCCAUCAGAUGAACCCAUAUGGGAUUAGCUAGUAGGUAAGGUAACGGCUUACCUAGGCGACGAUCCCUAGCUGGUCUGAGAGGAUGACCAGCCACACUGGAACUGAGACACGGUCCAG